rnacentral:lncRNA from 1 species
GGGGGGGGGGGGAUUGAAGCAGACUAAAAUGACACAAAAAAUAGUUGAACGAGUGUGGGUUUUGUCUUCAUUUUAGGAGAUCUUUAUAAAUUUUAGGAUUUUUUUUCCCGAGAAAAUUUAUGCCAACUCAUUCUUUGCUUCUUUUAUGAAGGGACAGAUGCAACUGAAAGUAUAUUCUUGAAUUCUAUAAGAGACAGCAGUUUAGAUUCUCGAGCCUUCAAAAAAAUAUCAAAUUCUAGAUUGCUGAAAUUUUAUAUAUCCAAGUAUGAUGGUGCACCAAUUAUUAACUCCAGGGUGCAACUUCACCGCGGAUUAGAAUGUCUUCCUGCAGAAUUGAGAAAUCUCCAUUGGCAUAAAUAUUUUUUUGAAAAUACUGUCAUUAGAUAUUUUUAUUAUUCAUACUUCAUUGCACAAGGCACCACCUGGCUUCUAUUUCAAGCCCUAAUAAUGAUCCGCUGCUGGAAAAGAAUUUGUGCAGCAUGUACGCUCCUUGACCACAACAGCAAAGUUUAUUGAUGUUAUUUCAUAUUCUGCUGUGAGUCAAAUAAAAAUUUACUAUGCCCUUUCGGCAUGGCUUGCCUUUCAGCAAAAAAAGAAAAAAAAUCUUUCAAAUUGUGGAAGCAUGCUUACAUUAAUCAGCUCAGUAUGUUAUGUUUCAAGGGAUGCAAAAUUCGUUUUGUUUCUCAUGGAAGAAUUGACUUGUCUGGAUGUAUUAAUCUCAUAGAUUUUCCACAGAUUCGUGGGAAUAUAACAAAGCUAGACUUAAGUGAGAUCCCAAUAGAAGAAGUUCCGUCAUCAAUAAAAUGCCUAGCUGAUCUUAAAACGUUGCGUUUGAGUAAGUGCACGAGGCUGAAGAGGCUUUCCAUCAAGCAUUUGUAAAUUGAAAUCUCUUCUUGAGCUUUAUCUCUAUAACUGCUCAAACCUUGAAAGUUUUCCAGAAAUCAUGGAGAAAAUGGAACGUUUAAAGAUAUAAAUUUAGCAAGGACGGCCAAUUACAGAGCUGCAAUCUUGAUAGCCUUCGGGAUAACAUUAGCAAUUUAAAAUCUUUGAGGUACAUCUCUACUAAUGGAUCAGCCAUUAGUCCUCUGUCGCAGGUUCGGUUGUACUUAAAUAUCUAUCAUUUUCUCAAUACAGAGGUUUGGUAUCAUUGCCUCCAAUAUUAUUGUCAGGUUUAGGUUUAUCGAAUUUGUUACAGCUAAAUUUAAGAGACUCUGCUAUAAUGGAAAUUCCCCAAAAUAUUGUUCGUCAAUCCUCAUUGAAAAUUUUAAAUCUAAAGGCUUGUUUGUUAACUACUUGAAGUAUGUAGUUAAUGCUUUUUUUUUUUUUUUUGUAAUUUAUGUUUGAUUUGAGAUAUUUACAUUUGAAUAAAAAAAUUAAACUUUUGUUACAUUUAUCUAAAAAAAAAAAAGGCUGAAUGGGAAGUAAAUAAUUCCCUUUUUCGUUUUAACUUACAAAAACAUAAAUGUUAACUAUGUUUAAGAAAUUUUUUAUUUAUAAAAAGAAACCAAAUACUACUUAUAUUCGUAUAUCAAAAAAUGAAAAACAAACAUGUUAUUCAUACGUUCACAUACAAACUCAUUCAGACCUCAGCUAAAUACAAAUCCAUUUACAUUUCAAAAAAAUAAAUAAAUACUUCCUAAGCGGGAAUAACUUUGAGAGUUGACUUGCAAGGCUAGAAUAUCUUGACUUGAAGGGUUGCAAUGAUUUCUCAUCAUUGAGAGUUUAUCAUUGUGCUUCAUCAUCAUCAUCAUUAUUAAUAAAAAGGUAAGCAAUUAAGAGUCAAAUUAAACCAGAAAAUCACUCAUCCACGCUUUUGGGACAUCAUUCUGCUCAUUAUUUUUAUUCCGUAUCUUCAUUGUUUUAUUUGGUAAUUAUUACCAUUAGUAAAUAAAGGGAUUAGUUGAUUAUUAUGAACUAACUAAAUGGAGCUCACCCUUAAAUGUCGGCUUGUAUCAGGGAGGUGCCUUAGGGUUAAUAAAUCAACUAAUCCCAUAAUUUGUCGAUGUAGGUGAUGGUUGUUAAAGCCAACAAAAACAAAUACCUACUCUAAAUAAAUUGUGUAUAGUGAUUGAGCAGGGUCGUGUUUACAGAGAUCGGUAAUUAUUUAAAUCCUUUUAAAACGUAAAACAUAAAAUGGGGGUUUUGUUGACAAUAAUAAAAAUCAAAUUAAAAUAACAAGAAUGCAAAUUAAAGUUGUAAUUCAAAUUUGGAGAAAGCUCUGGUUGAAGGAAUUAACUCAGCUUAAUUCGACUACUGAUCAUUUAUUCAAAUAUAAAUUAUUACUACUUAUGAAUAGACCGGUUAUGGCUACUGAGAACCUCUAAUAGCCAAUAUCUCCUUAACUAGUCGAUAACCAAGGUACGACCAUUGAUUAUUUCCCUAAUCAAUAGACAACCCUAGAUACGAUCAUAUGAUUUAAUCAAUUGACAGCCUAAAAAACCAGAGAGACCCAAAUCCUAAUCAACAAACACAUACGAUGGUUCAUUUAAAUUAGAUUGUUUAUUCUCAUAACACAACUCUCUGCUAUGUUAUUUGUCACAAACAUUAAAAUCUUCAUACAAUGAAUCCUUUAAUUGACAAUAGAUUAAGUUGAUAAUUAAAUAGUGGCCAAUUACCUAAUUAACAAACAUAAUCAUGAAAAUAAUUCAGAGAAUAAACAAAUACCCAAAAAGCAAUAAAACAAUUAAAACAUAAGAAAGAUCUCACAGUAGUGAUGAAUCAAAGCUUCAUUAACCUUCAACUAGAAAAAUAGGUUUAGUUCUUCAUAGAGAGAAGAGAAAAGUUUAGAUCUAGCGUUUCUUUCUUUUUCUCCAAUCCCCCCUUUUUCACUAUAGAUUCCUCCCUUAAAUACUCUCUCUCUCUUCUCCUCUAGAGUUCUAUUUAAAAUAAAAUACUAAUAUAUGAAAUAUUAAAUUCGUAAUUACAAAAAUAGCCAAAAAUACAAAACAUGUUAAACUAAAAACUGCAGGUCCGUAGUUGACAGCACGCGCCCACGCCUUAUCAAUAAAGUUCUUCUGACGCUCUAAAUUUCUCCAAGAGAACAAUCAUCUUUAAACAUCAUCUUAUAGCUCAAUUUUAUCACAAAUCAAUAAAAUUGCACCUACAAAAGUAAAACACAAGUAAAUCAUUAUUAUUAAGUGCAAAACAUCGAUAUUAAGGGAAGUAAACAAUGCAAAACUAGUGCAUAAAUUGCACUCUAACAGUAGGGUAGCAAAUUAUUGCCAUAGAUCAGCACACAUCUCGAAAACAUAUUUGAUCCACACAGUGAAGAUGAUUCAAUAUUAAGCAUGUCAUAUAAUCUGGAGUUGGAUAUUGGAUCAAUUUGAUGAUAAUGAGUUUCUUUCAAUCUCAAUAUGUAUCUUCUUCGCAACAUGACUAGCCAUUGCAAACUCAAACUCUGACAAUGAUUUCUCAAUCGCUUUCUAAGACGAUGAGCAUGUAUGUAUAUAUAUGUGUGUGCACGUGCGCGUGUGUGUUUGUGUACGUAUAUAGAGAGAGAGAUAUAUAUAUAUCACACAUGUGCGCUUUCCUUUUGUCAAUAAGAUAUGCAGAGAGCUUAAUAAUCAUAGAUUAGCUUAUAUCCUUCAAACCAUGUGCUAUGAAGUAAUUUCACAAACACUUGUUGAACGUUAUUGAAUCAGUAGUUCACAGUUCAAUACAAUGUAGGUUUCCUAUUUGAAGUAAAUGAUUAUGGUGUGUGCAUUUUUCAUAAAGCUAACUACUGAAUUUACCAUUGAAACUUGCAAAAUGUAACAGAGAGAUGCAGAUAGCAGCCACGAAACACUAAGAUUGAAAAUCAGGACUACUGAAUUCUAUUACAAGCCCUUAAAAUAGACAACAAUCAUCCUCAAAUGUAUAUACUGAAAGUAAAAAAUAUUAAUCGUAAAGUUAUGCAUUAACAAAACUAUUGAAUACUUAUCUUUAGCUAUAUAUUUUUAAUUGUAGCUCCCUACUUUGUUCUAAGAACUAGGCAAAAGUAGCAUAUCUUCAAUCCAAUCAGCAUAUAUACCGCUCAUCUUCUCCAGUUCUUUCCACUUUGAUUUGCAUUUCAUACCCUGCACUUGCUGCUUAGAAAUAGUCAUAGUUUGCACAUUGACAGUAGAAAAAGUACUUGAAACAAUCAUUGGCAUAGCAUGGGAUUCCAUUGAGUCGCGGUCUCCAAGCUUUCAUGGUUCUGUAAAGAAAAUGACAAAAACAUCAUGCUAUUGGCAUUCUACUUUUAGCAAUUUUCCACAAGCUGAGCUUUUUCAUAUCUCUCUAUAAAUUAUGCUGGUUCAACCUUCAGAUAAGUUUGUGAUAAAGGCAUCUAUGAUUACAAUGGGAAAAUUACAUGAACUUAUGUUAUCAAUCAUUGUUUUGCCUUCUCGUGAUAGAAUUCUGCGCAAUAUAAAACAUGACAUAUCUGUUACUUACCAUGCCAUGUCGUGAACCUAGAAGCAAUGCAAAUUGCAAGGAACAUAUUAAGCUAUCUACUGUAUAUAACAAAUUCUUAUUAGCCCACAAUCUUGUGCCCCAACAUUGAUCAAGUAACACUAUUAUUUCAUUUCCAAAAUGGCAUAUAUAAUCUGAUGUUGAACAAACCAAAUUGGGAAUCAUCAUUCCUUACAUUGAGCUGACAUUCGUACCUGCUAGUCCAUGAGCAAAGUUGCUUAUAUUUCCACACAGGCAGCUCCCCUUAUCUCUCGGUUCCGACAGAGCUUUGUUUUCCCAUCACCAGCUUUGGAUUCAUUCGAUCACUGAUGCUCCGAGUUAGCAAGCCCCUUGUUGUGUUCCCAUUUAACAGACCCACUUCUGUUAUCCACAGAAGAUCCACCACUCAAAAUGCUUAUCACCGAACUAUUCCUAAACUGAGUAGAAACUUCCGCACAUCUCUCGGCAUUUACAUGAAGAAAUCGACACCCACCCUCAUAUUUGUAAGUUUUCUGAUAAUAGAAAUGUCUACAAAGCUGCAUUUCGUUAGGCAAUCUAGUCUCUCCAUUCCUAGCAAAGUGACAUUGAUUCCCGUAUUUGUAAUUGCCUAAUUGGGGUUUUGGCAAUAGCCUGGUCUUAAAAUUACCACCCAUUACUUUGUUCAAUGCCACUGGCAUCCUCUGAUUAGGAACAUUUUCACAAUUUUUAGCCCUGUUAGUCGAAUCACAUUCAAGGGGAUAGUGAGACAGUAUUUCACUAAAAGAUUCAAUUUGACUACACAUAUAAGAAUUUGAAAUCACUUUUUCUUGGAAUAUUUAAUGACCCACCCAGGGUGAAAGUUUUUGAAUGGAAAUUAUUUAAUUUGAUUUGUUUUCCAACAAAUUCAAGAAACCCCAGAUAGUAACAUAAAAAAAAAAAAUCAACCAAUAAUACGCAAUGGGUUUCUUUCUUUUUGCUUUUGGAGGGCCAUGAAGAUCUGGAGUGGGCUGUAAGUAAUAGCCUUUAUCACUGGAGUGACAAAUUUGCAGAAGAUGAUGCAUGGGGAAGGAUUGGGCGAGCAUAAAAAUGGCUUUACACUCUUUGGAUUAGCGCCUCAUUUAGGUUGUAGCGAGAUAAAGAUAUCAUUUAAAGUUUUAUAAUCCUUGUUAUGCUUAAGGCUUCACUUAGUAUAGCAUAGAGCUUUUCUAGUUUAGCAUUUUACAAGUAGAAUUUUUUUAAAUUAUUAUUUAUUUGGUUGUUUUGUUCAGAAGAGCUUUUAAAGCUCCAAAAUCUUUGAUAGUCAGGUUUUUUUUUGGUAAGUAAAACUUUUAACAAAAAUUUAUUAUUCACUUGAUCGUUUACAAGAGUUUUCAUUAGAAGUUAUGUAAAGUUCUUUAAUUUUUUUUAUCAGUGCAUCUUUUUACAAGUAUAAUUUUUAUUUUUUAACAAAAAUUAAUUCAAUAAUAUUAAUAAUCUCAAUAUUUGAGUUUUAAUAUCAUAUGUCACUCAUUUAUUGGAUGACAGAUUUCAUAACUUAUAAAAUUAUUUAACUAACAUCCACUAAGCUAAUGUCACUAUAGUGAAGAUUGAAGUUGAAAUUUAGAUGUUACGUUGGGUAAUAUUGCGCUUAUUUGGUUGUUUAUGAGAGUUUUUUUGUACAAAUUUAUUUUUAUACAAAUUGAUAUAGUCUAAAUUCAUUAAUUAGAUGAAAAUAGAAAAUAAUAAAAAUAAAUCUUGUGUACUAAAAGUUAUUUAAUCUAUUUAAUUGAAUUAUCCUACGUUUGUUUGUACUAAAUAAAUUUAUAUAAAAAUUAAUUCUAUUUUUUGAUGUGCAACUAAACUUUUAGUCUCUUAUUAUUCGUAAAAUUCAAAUUCAGUGGCUUAUCAAAUAAAAUUAAAACUAUUGGUUAAUCAAAUAAAAUUAUUUGAAAUCAUUGGGUGUGGUAGCUGGAGCUCUUGAAAGUUGAAACUAUGGAAGCCAUGAAAUAUACCAGCGAAAAGAGUUCUAAUUUUUAAAUGUCUAUUUUAUAAAAAUUUUAAUAAUAAAAGUGUCGCAUCGACAUUGAACAGUAUAAAAAUUUUUAAUAAUAAUUUUUUUACGUUUGGGGUAUUUUUGUAAUUAUACGAAGGUAAACUAAUCGCAAAAUUCAUUUGGCUUACACUUGCUCUGUGUAUGGUUAUGGCGGUAUCAUUAUCAUCUUCUCCAUUCGUACUGACACCAAACCUUAACCGUUCAGAUUCCCUUUCUCGACUGUCAUACCCUACGCCCCGUCUCCGUGUCUCCGAUAAACAGUGCUCAAUUAAGGCCAUCAGAUUAUCCCGGACCCACAUUGAUCCAACGGCUCACAAUGACCGACGACCUCUCCAUCUCCAUUACAAGCUUCCUCUUCAACUGGCUUCUGCCUCUAUCGUACUCUUUCUCGGAUUCGGAGCCCGUAUAUGCUCGGCUGGUCCUACGGAGCUACCUCUCACUCCAGCUGUCAACCAACAAGACCAAUUGCUUAAUCCAGACACAGAACAACAAGAGGGUGAGAAAUUGAAUCAAGAAUUUGAGAAUUGGAAAUCGAAAACGUACGCAUUGACCGUGCCUUUAAGGGUCGUUUCUCUUCAGAAUUCAGUGCCUCAAUCUUGGGUUAAGGAUUUUAUGCGAAGUCAAGGAAAGAGAUUGAAGUUUCAGAUGAAUUUUUGUGCUAGCACUGAUGGGAUCGUUAAAAAUUUAUCUAUGCCCUCUAACAAAGUUAAGGCUAACUCAGCUUCGUAUAUGGCUGCUGAUUUGGUUAGUGUUGGUGAUUCAUGGCUCAGUUUUGCGAUUAAAAAGAGAUUGAUUGAGCCAAUAGCUGAAGCUGAAGAUCAAGAUUGGUUCAAAUGCUUAAGUCACAAAUGGAAGGUAACAUCUUUGUCUUUGACCGGAUGAUUUUUAUUGUCUUACAUUGAAAUUUGGUAAUGUAAUUUGUUCUCUAUCUGUGUUACCUUUGUAGUGAUUUUUUUUUUUAUUUGCUUUUAUUUGCACUAACAAAGUCUUAGGUAUAUCUACGCAGGAAUGAUGCAGAAGAAAUUGAUCCUCGAGGUAAAAUAUGGGCGGCACCAUACAGGUGGGGCACAAUGGUGAUAGCCUACAAGAAAAGUAAAUUUCGAAAGCAUAAUUUGGCUCCGAUUGAGGUAAUAAUUGUCUUUAAACUCAUUUAGUUUUAUAUGAAACAAAAUCAAGACUGCCUUUCUCUUCAAUAUUUUUGAUGAUAAUAUCUUUAGAAGCAUCUCAUUGACAGGUAAUAAUGGUAUCCCUGAAAGAGUCUAUAAACUCAAUGAUAUUAUCUUCUACAAAUGGUUCAUUAAACUUCUUCGUUGCAGUCAAAUGUACACUAAGAACAAUGAGAAGCUAUGCCACUGUAGCAUGUAGUGAUGGCACUUAAUAAGUGAGUUGCUAGGAUGUGAACUAGAAAAAUUAAAUAUUGUCUCCUUGGGUAUGCUAGCUCGUAAGUCAGGGUUAAUAUUAGAACUUAUGAUACUAUAACCAUGAGAAGCUAUUGACUGCCAAUUAAAAUAUCCAUUAAAAUGUCUAGGGAGUUAUGAAGGUGGAGGUAACUUCCAAUUUCUAAGGCCACAUAGUAGACAUCAUGCAGGAUCCUAGGAAAGUGCAGUUAACCUCCUGGUCGAUGCCAUUAAUAAAUUUGAUCAAUGCCACUGAAACCUGCUAACUGAUGUCACAAUGCGACAUGAGCACUUCAAAAUGGGACAGACGGUCAGUAGCACUAAAUUUUUCUUGUCUAAGAUUGAGCAAUUGGUCUAACUACUAACCCCUAUUGUAGGUUGAUCAUUAUGUUUUUCAAUUAUGUUCAGUUUGACCCAAAACAUUACAGAAUCUUGAUCUGAAUAUUGUCACUGAACACUGUCAAUGUCGUUUGGCAUAGCCAACUAACUUGAGUUUGGUAAAACAAACACACAGUGUGUCUCAUGUCUCACAAUUCAAAUUAUCAUCUGUAAUGAUGGAGAAUUUUUCCAAUGUAUGAAGUAUGCUUUGAUACGUGGGUUACCUUGGGGAAGGUAUCUCAAAAUAAAGAAUAUGGGGAGAAAACAGUGCAGUAGUUUAUUAUUCCGUAGUCAAGUUUUGUCUCAAAAAUGGUCAAAAUUUAAAUGAAUAAGGACAGGGGAUCUUCAGUCUUUUUUCCCUUUUUUUAUACCAAGAUAUCUCUCAACCUUUAUAUAAUCCCACUGGAUAUCUGCUUCUAAUAAUUAAAAUAAAAUUUCACCCACACAAAUAAGUACUGACCAAGCUCUAACAAUAAAAAGUAACAUCUUUAGUCAAGUAAUUUACAGUUCCUCAUCAUCUUAGUGUGAGACUAUCAGUACGAUCCAAGAGCAAAAUAAAACUGGUUUGACCCUGUUUAUUGAUGUUUAAAUGUUGUUCAUUGUGACAUGUAGAAAUGAUGAGGUGAAGUUUCUUUGGUCAUCAAUUAGUAAGAUCUCGUUUGAAGUUGUUUUCUGAAAUGAACUGGCAAAUGGUAGUUUUUUUGGGGCAUUUGAUGGCUCUUUUUCUUUUUUCCUCAUUUUAAACAUGUGCCUGCUUGGAACGGGAUGGAUUAAGCUGCAGGUUAUAUAUUUUGACAUGCUCUGGUCAUUACACAAUUUGUUCACACUGGGAAUUAGGAUGAGAAAUUUGUUGAUGCUGUUUUGAGAGACCUGCAUUCUAUGCACAAUAACCUGAUUAAUGAAAAUGGAUUGUAGAACUGGAAAGAUCUGUGGCGGCCUGAGCUCGCAGGAAGAAUUUCAAUGGUUAAUUCUUCCCGAGAGGUUAUUAUUGGUUCAGUUUUUAAGUAUAUGGGAGCAUCAUACAAUUCAAACAAUAUUGAUUCGCAAGUUGCUGGUGGGAAGAUUGCUGUUCAGCAGAAUCUGGCAUUACUGGCAAACCAGGUACUCUUAAAGAAACGAUAUCUGGUCAUUGCAUGUUAUUGCCUGACAACUGAUUUUGUUUGUAAAAGUCUGCUUCUUCAUACAUAUGAAUGCAUAUGUUAGUGUUUUCUUCUCCUUUUCAUAAUAUAUGAAUGCAUAUGUUAGUGUUGUCUUUUCCUUUUCAAACAUAUUAUACAGAUGUUGGUGUUCUCUCCUGAGAUGGAUGCAAUAAAGGCAUUUGCUGCUUAAUUUAGCUGAAGAAAUGGCAAGGGAUGUGAGAUUCUGUCUCAUUAAAUUAACAAAAACCCAAAACAAUGAAAGCCCAUAAUAAUGUAGUGUGGGUAAAUUGGCGCCAUUUGGUUCGUUUCCUUAAUGUGAAUAUGCGAGCAAUAGAGACUAACAAAAUGAAGUGAGAACAGCAAGUCAGUGUCCUUUGAUGGAUGCUUUUUUAAGCAGAAAUAGGUUUGUAAUUGACCAAAUUUGUCUGGCAUGCCAAUUUCAAAAAAAUUAAAUUGUGUGGUUAUUAGCUGUAAUGAAGGGGCAUAGUAGGUGCAAUUAGGCGGAUCCAGGAAAGUUCAACAAAGUUCUGGUAUGGCCUAUUGAAAUUGGUUUUUGCAAUUCAAGAGUCUUUCAAGUGAACGAUGAGGGGUUUUGAUUUAUAAAUGUUAUAAAUCUACUGUGCAUAGUAUUCUAGUAGAAUCAUCUAUAAGUUCUAGUUAUUGAAAUUGUCUACCUUGUUCAGUUUGAGUUAAGGGCAUAUGUAAUAUGAAAAAUAGUUGUCGCAUCUUUUAGGUUACCUAACAUUUGAUCAAUCCUAUUAUGAGGGCUUCAAGAUGUCUAACAAUAUGCAGAAUGCCCAUGCUCCUCCCCAUUGUUUAUCUUAUACAAUAAUUUGUUUUAGAUGCUAAUAUCUUUGUUGAUACCGGUAACAAUAUUGCAAUAUCUGCGUUUAUUGGGUUUUACAUAGGUUCGACUGUUUGACAGUACACACUAUCUGAAGGCAUUUGGAAUUGGAGAUGUAUGGGUUGCUGUUGGGUGGAGUAGUGAUGUUCUUCCUGCUGUCAAACGUAUGUGAGUAUGUCUAAUGUUGCAUUGUUAUCUCCUUCAUAUUAGCGAUCAGUAAACACGAUAAUGUGACUAAUAAGUUUGUAUUCUCUUUUAUAGAUAAAAAAAUAUUAGAUGACUAGUAAUUAACAUUUAAUUAUAGUUGAAAUAUUGUUUAUUAAAUUAGUCUAUUGUCUAAGAACGGUUAUAAAAUUAAUUUCAACAUAUAAUAAGAACUAUUACAAUAAUUUAUUUAGAUUUAUAUAUAUAGCUUAACUAUGAAUUAUUAAAACCAAUAUAGCUUCAUAGUUUGUGUGUUAAUAUCUAUUUUAAUCUUUUGUUUAUCUUAUUAAUUUUUCAUUUAAAUUUAAAUCUAUGUUAAAGAUGUUCUAUCAAUCAAUUUGGACUAGAGAGUAAAUAAACAAUCUAGUAAUCACACAAUAGAUAUUGUAUAUAAUUGUUCAAUUAUAACAAACUUUAAAUUUGCAUUAAUAUGAUUAGAAGUAUUGUUUUGCAAUUAACCGAAUCAUAGGCUAAUAAUUUUCAAUAUGAAAUAACUAACUUAGGAUAAAUUAAUUAAUUGACUGAUUUUUUUUUUAAUUUGAAUAUCUUGUGUUAUCUCUAGUAAACAAUUAAAUUUGUCCUUCAAGACUUGAAACAAAACAAAUUGGAGGGCGAGUCAGAGGUCCCUCUCCCUUAAUCCAUCAAUGGAUAGAGUUCUGCUUGCAAACAGCAAGAGCAUUGCCUUUCAAGCAAGAGGUUAUGCCGGGCGCAUCUCCCUCUGCCCUUGAAAGACUCUGGUUAAGUUGCCUGAAGAACUUCUGAAGGGUAAACCAAGCCUGGAUACUAACUUAAUUGCUGGAGUACCCCCGGCUGAAAUUCUGGCCAGAUGUGAGUUUUUGGAGCCAUUAUCU